rnacentral:lncRNA from 1 species
UGAGCUAAUUUUACUCAGUGACAGGGCACAGUUUUCCAGUGAUUGUCAUCAACCAUCCAUCCCUUGUGUUUCCCUCACCACCUGAGAUGUACAGUUAGCAGGUGUCAUCAUGGUACUUUGUUUUCUGGCAGGGUUAUCCUUACAUCUUUUAACAUAGUAGCAGCUUCUUUUCUUCUUUCGAAACCAGUAAGCUUUCCCUGUUGUGUCUUGCAGGAAAGAGGUGAGGUCUUAUGUUGACUUAAUUUCUUUGUCUAGUUUAAAUUUUCUGUGAUGCUUCCUCUCUGCCAUAACAUCAGUUUCUAAUAAUUUCAGUGCUGCUUUAUGUAGAUUUGAACCAAGAAAUAGAGAUCAUUUGCUUGUUUUUGUUUCACACAUUUGAAGAUUCAAGAGUGGCUGAAAAAAAUCAGUUAAAUGAAAUCAAGAUGCGCUGAUGCCAUAAAGAUGUUUUGCUUACCAGAAAUAUCAAGCCAGGAGCCGGCCCAGUGUCUGAGUGGUUAAGUUCGCCGGCUCCCCUUUGGCGGCCCAGGGUUUCGCCGGUUCGGAUCCUGGGCGUGGACAUGGUACUGCUCAUCAAGCCAUGCUGAGGCGGCGUCCCACAUGCCACAACUAGAAGGACCCACAAUUAAAAAUACACAACUAUGCACCAGGGAGCUUUGGGGAGAAAAAGGAAAAAAAAUAAAUAAAAUCUUUAAGAAUAAAUAAAAAAAGAAAAAGAAAUCUGAAGCCAUUCUACCCCAUUCUCCUCUGGCCACUAAAUUCAUGAACAAUAUCCAGCUAUUUAUUUUGGGAUCAAGUUGUGGUUAAGAGUCUGGGCUCUAAAGUUAUGCUGCAUGGGUUCAAAUCCCAUCUCGGACACUUAAUGGCUCUGUAACGUUGGGCAGUACUUCAUUGCUCUACGCCUGUUUCACUUUCUGAAUAGUAGGAUCAACAUAUUAAAUCAUCAUAACCAUGGGCCGAUUAAAGAGUAGAUGUAUGCAAUGAACACAGUACAAGGCACUUGACCAAAAAAAAAAAAAAUCUCAAUAUUCAUUAUUGAUCAUUGAUGGUGGGACCAGUAGUAAUGCUAUUGCUGGCUCAAGUAAUAGUUCAAGUAAUAAUUUACUCAAGCAAGUAAUUCACUCACGUCAAAUAAAUAACCCCUUGCCAUGCCACAUAUUUCAUAUUCUAAGCAGACAUAUCCUUCCAAACAGGGUGAACAUCCAGCUAGCCACAGUUGUAAGAUGCAGUAACAGAGACAUAUAGAUCUAGGCAAACAACCUGAGUUUCCCUUAUUAUCAUAUUAGAAGAGCGUUUCUCUGAAACUGGGUAAUGAUAUUUAUCACCUUCUGUACCCUGCCUCAGCCAGGGAGGGGGGAACCACAGCCCUAGGUGAGUGACUCCUGGAUCGUGAACAUACCUCUGAAUGUGAAGCUCUGUGUUCACGGGGCUUAAGAUUUGCCAACUUGAUGUGGUUCUGGCUCAUGCUGGCUAAUACUAACCGCUUGGGCAGCUAAAAUGCGGCUAUCUUCUUAGCACCCUUUUAGAAUAGAAAUGUAUCUGUUGAGGUAUAAAUUCUCUG